rnacentral:rRNA from 1 species
UACAGAGGUCCCAAGCGUUGUUCGGAUUUACUGGGCGUAAAGGGUGCGUAGGUGGCGGGGUAAGUCUGGUGUGAAAGCUCCGAGCUCAACUCGGAAAAGCAUUGGAAACUAUUCCGCUAGAGGGUCGGAGGGGAGACUGGAAUUCUCGGUGUAGCAGUGAAAUGCGUAGAUAUCGUAAGGAAGACCAGUGGCGAAGGCGGGUCUCUGGACAGUUCCUGACGCUGAGGCACGAAGGUCAGGGGAGCAAACGGG